AUGCAAUAGUCAGUAGGCUUCUUCUAACACCCUCAUAUCUUUGGGUAGAAGCCUUCUUCCCCAUUCCCAGAGAUGGUAUUGCCAUUUGAUUUGCUGUAUCUUCACAACUUCCUGCAUGAGUGUCUAAGUAUCUCAAAGAAUGCUCUGGAAUCUGAGUUUAUGACCCUGUGUACCCAUCAGGAUGGGCUAAGUUAAAGGACAAAAGAGCCCUACAAUCUCAGUGGCUUAAAAUCACCAGGGUUUAUUUCUUGCUCACAGAACAUUUUGAUUACAGAUUGUUUGGGGGCUCUGUCUUUUGACUGCCAAGGCAGGAGAAAGAGAAUGUGGCAAAUGGAGCCCUGGCUUUUAAACUUUUUGCUCAGAGGUGACAUAAUCAUUUCUUCUUCAUUUCAGAGACUAAAACAAGUUUUAGUUCAAACUUAUCUGUGUCUGUAAGGAGAACUCAAAAUAUUUGGUGAACAGCUCUAAUGACGACCACACCCCUGGGGUACACAAUUCCUGCAGAGAUGACAAGGCAGGAAGAAAGAGCCACACAGGAAAUCGGCAAUACUCCCAGUGUUAUAACUGAGUUGGCAGAUUGGAAAAACAUCACUAGACAGAGUCAUUUGCAUCAGUGAUAUUUUGGAUUUCACAAUGCAUUUUAGAGUUCCUGGAAUAAAGCACAUGGUCAAGAAAUACUUGUUGAGUAAAUUAAUGAGUGGAUUACAACAGAAUGAUAAUCGCCUGAGACCUUCCAGAAUAGUCCAGCUGUGAAGAGAUUUUAUGUAUGGCUAAUAGACACAGGAUUCAGAAUAAAUGUGAGUAAAUUGUAGAGGGUGUCAGUUGUGGUGGUAGUCCAUUAGCUUAGAACUAUAAAAACCCUAUUGGCAAACACAAUUUGAGAAAAAACCCUGGUAUUUCUGUGGUGGAGGCUUUUCCCCAUGUACCCACUUUUAGUUGUUGAUUAAAAGAGGCUCACAAUACCUCUCUGUCUCACUUUCCACUCACGAUUCCCUUUCCUAAGCUAGAGAAAUGUGAUAUAGCCCAGUAAUGUUCAGCAAAAUUCAUUAUAUUGUUUGCUAUUUAUAAUAAGGGUGAGCACAAAUCGUCACUUCAGUUUUUGACUAAAGCAAAUUGAUUUGGGGGAUGGAGUAAACCCAGAGUACAAAAAGAAUGAUAGGGCUUGUGUUGUUACCUUCCAGGUUCCUUUUCCAGUCUUUCAUAAAGAAUGGUAAAUAUGAUAUUCCAAAUGGAUUUCUACAUGCUUUUAAAUAUUGUAAAGCAAUCAACAAAAUAGUAA
rnacentral:lncRNA from 1 species